AAGGACAUUUUUCACUGUCUGCAAAACUGGGAAGACACAGAGGGAGAGGCAAAAGAGCCUGCUCCCUCCGGACCUGCUCUCCCCUCCCCCUCCUCCUCCUCCUCCCUCACCAGGAAAGCGACGGUGCCUCUGGGUCCUAGCUGCUCCCACUGCAGCGGCAGACCACGGAGAGCUGCCCCAGACACCUGCUGCCCUUUUCUCUCCGUGAACCUGGAGAGGAGGUUCCCCGUUGCAGUGAGCAUGAAAAACCCAGACCUGAAAGGGAGGGCGUGUUUUCACAGCACCUUCUCCUCGUCAGCCUCUUUCCAACGCUCCUGAAAACCGGCUCUGAAAAGAUCUGCUCUGUUCAGACAACGACUAACCGGGCUCCUCACCCAGAGCCCGAGGGUGAGGGAGAGGAAAACCGUGUCAUUAAGUUUGAGGGACAGGCCUUGGAGAGGCACAGAGACACAGGACCUCAGUGCGGGAUCACGAAGUCCAGACUUUCUGGUUUACAAGGGAAGCUGUUAUGGCCCAGAGAGGUUCUGCUGGCUGGGAAGUCCAAGAUCAAGAUGCUGGCCCAUUUGGGUCCCAGUGAGGAUUCCCUUCCUGGUUUGCAGACGGCUGCCUUGGCAGGGAGAGAGAGCUCACAGCCCUUCCUCUUUUUAUACAGCCCCACCCUCCUGAUCUCAUCUAACCCUGAGCACCUCCCAAAGGCCCCGCCUCCUGAUACCAUCACAUCAGGGUUAGGGUUUCAGCAUUUGAACUUGGGGGGAUGCAGCCAUUCAGUCCAGAGCACAGGCAGUGGGUGGGAUUUGGCUCCCCGGCCGCAGUUUUUCCACCAAUGUCUUAGAGUAGCGGGGAAGUUUGGUGUGAUCAGAGUUGGAGGGGGUUAACUCCAUGUUUCUUUUUUUAACUAGGAAAAACUGUUUUCUCUCUUUCCUUCCAGGCUGGUCUGAGAUGAUACAGACUCCCCAGGUCCUGAGUGAGUACCACGACACCACGAAGGGUUGUGCAUGUGCUUGAGUCUUCUAAUUUUACUUUUUGUGGCUCUCCAGUGAAUCACAAGCUCUUUGAGAUAGUAUAAGAUGGAGGUUAGGGACGUGGGCUUUGGAAUCAGACAGAUGUGAGUUCGAAACCUGACUCUACCAGCACUGGGAACAUGGAAUUGUCACUGCCUGAUCUUGGCCCACAGACCUUGAGACUAGGUCCAGAUUUUACCACCAAACUGACCAUCCAGGGGUUCCAGGACUGGUCUCUGGACCUUUGCUUUGAAUGCUGCAGAAUUCCCAGAAGAACCCACAACUGAGAUCUGGCUGACAGGGAUGGAGCUCCAGUAACUCACCAGGGAAGACACCUGCUCCUCUUACUGCAACUGCAGGAUGAUAUAGACAGGAGUGUCCCCAGCCACUCUGAGCACACCUAACAGGUCUGCGGUUUAAGCCAGUCAAGGUUCGUCCAUGGAGCUGGGAGUAGGGUCAGUUUUUCCCAAUGCAUAUGGUGAAGGUAGAUACUUGAAUGAAAAUCAAACUUCUCUUUCCAAGAGGUAGGGGAAAUGUAUGCUGAGUUGCCUGAACAGAAAAUGCACCCUUAAAAAACAUCUUCCAGGUUCCCCAACCCUCAGCCCAUGGUAGCCAUCACUCUACUCUCUGUUUCAGUGAGUUCUUUAUAUCUUUUGGAUAUUAAACUUUUACCUGAUAUAUGGUUUGCAAAUAUUUUUUCCCAUUCUAUAGGUUACUACAAGUGGGGAGAGAGGCUGCAUACUCAGGGGACAGGUAGAGAGAAAAGAACUUUGGGGCAUCUGUGGUCCGAGAACAAUGACCCAUCCAAGGACAGUUAUUGGGAGAAUAUGAUGUCGACAAUCAAUUCUGAGCUCACUCAUAGUUGCACAUCUCCAGGGACACAGACUUAAGCAGAACCACAUCCUGCCUUUAGAUAUUAGAAGGAAGUGCUGUGUAUGUCUAAGUCAAAGCUAGUCCCACCAAGGAACAGAAGCUUCUCAGAAAGAAUGCCCUGGUUGAUCUGUUUCCAGCCAUCUUAGAAACAAGCCAUUCCUCUUUCUGACUGAUGGCAGUACUACUCCUGCUUCUGGUUUAGAGAACAGAGCUCAGAGAUGGGAAAUGGACUGGUCUCUCCAAAUGCGCAUCAUAGGUCAUGCCGUGUUAGAGCUGAGAUGGAUCUCAGAGGCUACUCAGUCCGAUCCUUUAAUGAGACGAAAAGGAGGAAAAGGCCUAAGUAGAGUCUAGAUACAAAAUUACAUAUACAUUUGAAGACUUAUUUAACCUCUCUGGGCAUACUAUAUGACUAUUCGUCUUCAUCAUUUGUUAUUUCUGCUGGAUCCAUACCUGAAUGAAGGGAAACUAGACCCUUAUGGUCUACAUGCUUUGUCCUUUCCUGUCAGUCAUUUACCAAUUAGAAAAAUGUUCAUUGAAUACCUAUCACACAUCUGGAACUGUCCUCAGCUGAGAAUACGGCAGUGAACAUGACAGAUGUGGAGCCUGCCAUCAGGGUCUGGAGGGAAAGGAUGGAAAAAACUCAAGUGAAUAGUCAUACAUAUUAUUUAGAAAUGAUGAUAAGUACUAUACAGGAAACCAAACAAGGGUGGUAUAAACUAGCGAAAAACAGAGGGAGUUACUUUAGACAGGAAGGGCAAG
rnacentral:lncRNA from 1 species